GAUGAAGAACGUAGCGAAAUGCGAUAAGUAGUGUGAAUUGCAGAAUUUAGUGAAUCAUCGAAUCUUUGAACGCACAUUGCGCCCCCUGGUAUUCCGGGGGGCAUGCCUGUCCGAGCGUCAUUACAACCCUCAAGCUCAGCUUGGUGUUGGGCCCCGCCGCCCCGGCGGGCCCUAAAGUCAGUGGCGGUGCCGUCCGGCUCCGAGCGUAGUAAUUCUUCUCGCUCUGGAGGUCCGGUCGUGUGCUCGCCAGCAACCCCCAAUUUUUUUCAGGUUGACCUCGGAUCAGGUAGGGAUACCCGCUGAACUUAAGCAUAUCAAUAAGCGGAGGA
rnacentral:misc_RNA from 1 species